UACGGAAGGCAGCAGUGGGGAAUAUUGCACAAUGGGCGCAAGCCUGAUGCAGCCAUGCCGCGUGUAUGAAGAAGGCCUUCGGGUUGUAAAGUACUUUCAGUCGUGAGGAAGGUGUUAAGGUUAAUAACCUUAGCAAUUGACGUUAGCGACAGAAGAAGCACCGGCUAACUCCGUGCCAGCAGCCGCGGUAAUACGGAUGGUGCGAGCGUUAAUCGGAAUUACUGGGCGUAAAGGGCACGCAGGCGGUUAAUUAAGUUGGAUGUGAAAUCCCCGGGCUUAACCUGGGAAUGGCAUUCAAGACUGGUUAGCUAGAGUCUUGUAGAGGGGGUAGAAUUCCGAUGUGUAGCGGUGAAAUGCGUAGAGAUGUGGAGGAAUACCGGGUGGCGAAGGCGGCCCCUGGGACAAAGACUGACGCUCAUGUGCGAAAGCGUGGGGAGCGAAACAGGGAUUAGAUA
rnacentral:rRNA from 1 species